GACGAACGCUGGCGGCGUGCCUAAUACAUGCAAGUAGAACGCUGAAGAGAGGAGCUUACUCUUCUUGGAUGAGUUGCGAACGGGUGAGUAACGCGUAGGUAACCUGCCUUGUAGCGGGGGAUAACUAUUGGAAACGAUAGCUAAUACCGCAUAACAAUGGAUGACACAUGUCAUUUAUUUGAAAGGGGCAAUUGCUCCACUACAAGAUGGACCUGCGUUGUAUUAGCUAGUAGGUGAGGUAAUGGCUCACCUAGGCGACGAUACAUAGCCGACCUGAGAGGGUGAUCGGCCACACUGGGACUGAGACACGGCCCAGACUCCUACGGGAGGCAGCAGUAGGGAAUCUUCGGCAAUGGGGGCAACCCUGACCGAGCAACGCCGCGUGAGUGAAGAAGGGUGUCGGAUCGUAAAGCUCUGUUGUAGGUCAAGAACGGGUGUGAGAGUGGAAAGUUCACACUGUGACGGUAGCUUACCAGAAAGGGACGGCUAACUACGUG
rnacentral:rRNA from 1 species